rnacentral:rRNA from 1 species
UACAGGGGGGGGCAAGCGUUGUUCGGAAUUACUGGGCGUAAAGGGCUCGUAGGCGGCCAACUAAGUCCGACGUGAAAUCCCCCAGCUUAACCUGGGAACUGCGUCGGAUACUGGAUGGCUUGAAUUCGGGAGAGGGAUGCAGAAUUCCAGGUGUAGCGGUGAAAUGCGUAGAUAUCUGGAGGAAUACCGGUGGCGAAGGCGGCAUCCUGGACCGACAUUGACGCUGAUGAGCGAAAGCUAGGGGAGCAAACGGG